CCUACGGGUGGCUGCAGUGGGGAAUAUUGGACAAUGGGGGGAACCCUGAUCCAGCCAUGCCGCGUGUGUGAAGAAGGCCCUCGGGUUGUAAAGCACUUUCAGUGAGGAAGAACGCCUGGUGGUUAAUACCCAUCAGGAAAGACAUCACUCACAGAAGAAGCACCGACUAACUCCGUGCCAGCAGCCGCGGUAAUACGGAGGGUGCGAGCGUUAAUCGGAAUUACUGGGCGUAAAGCGCGCGUAGGUGGCUUGAUAAGCCGGUUGUGAAAGCCCCGGGCUCAACCUGGGAACGGCAUCCGGAACUGUCAAGCUAGAGUGCAGGAGAGGAAGGUAGAAUUCCCGGUGUAGCGGUGAAAUGCGUAGAGAUCGGGAGGAAUACCAGUGGCGAAGGCGGCCUUCUGGACUGACACUGACACUGAGGUGCGAAAGCGUGGGUAGCAAACAGGAUUAGAUACCCUGGUAGUC
rnacentral:rRNA from 1 species